GCCAGAGGCGCCUCUGUGAUCCAGCCAGCUCUCCUCUGAGCGCAAAUAAAUCAACAACAGAAGGACUGCGGGAAACUCAAAGGGGAAAACUGAAAAGAAAGCUGCGGGGGACCGUUCAUCCUAGUGGCUGGAUUGGCAAGAUGUAUUGAGCACUGCCGACCUCGGGCCUGGGGAUGUGGAGGGUGAGGAGACACUCCUGCCCUCAAGAGUCCAGGGGACAGCAAGAGAGAGCAGCACAGGGCAGAACAGAAGCCACCUGAGGACAACGGUGUGUCUUAUUCUCUGUGCUGGCUCCCGUCCUUGGGGGCCUCAUCAGUGCCUGUCGAAUGGAUGGAAGCUUCUGAGCGCUUGCUCCUUGCCGGCCUUGUGUCCAGUAUUGGACAUUCAAAGUGGAAUGGGACCCACUGAAGAGCCCAAAUAGAAACCAGAGGGAUGUGCACCUUCCUGGCAAUAUGACCCCACCAAGACAAGCUAACGAUACCCCGGAGGACAUCCAGAAGGAUGAGGGGCCCUUCCCCUGGGGAAGGAGGGACGGGGACACCAGGCAGAGGGCACAGCACAGGCAAAGGCAGAGACGUUAAAGUUCAUGUCCCAUUUGGGCAGAGGGUGUGGACCCAGUGAAGUUGGAUCACAGGUGACAGGUGAGACGGGACGCGCCCCUCACAGAGGGCCCACUGCGAUGCGUCACAGAGUCUGAAGAUUUCUGCUGUUUUCCAUUUCCUUGUAUCCCUAGCCCUUCUCUCAUGCGGGACGUGUGGUGGAGGUUCGGUGAAAAGUACUGAAUGUAAACUGACAACAGGAGAUGUUAACUGUUUCUAGAAGGGAAACCAGUGGUCCUGGAUUCAAAAGUGACCUCCUGGCAUCUUAUUCUCUUCUGUCCUAUCUAUUGGCGGGUCUUUGUGGUAGCUGGGGGAAGCUAAGCUGCUGUAACAAAGAGACUCUCUGCCAUCCAUCACCCCCCAACAUCCCGUACCAUAAAGAACAAGGAAAUUUCCACGUCUGUUUCGUAGUCGCUUUGGGUGCGUGGAUCUCCUCACUCGGUCGCUUGGAGACUCAGACCGAUCCCCUCUGUCGUGUUUCUCCACCAGUCCUGGGGCGUUGUAAACACCUUCCUGGACGAAGCUGGGUUUCAGCCCUGUGCUGGGUGUAGACAGCGGGGAGGGCAAAGAGGUCAAGGAGGAGGUGAGGCGUGGUCUGAAAGGCUCCGUGUCAGAUGGACCACACAUCACUUCUGCUGCCAUCCUGCUGGCGAGAACGUGACUUAACCGCAAAGAAGGCCAGGAAGUAUAGUGUGGCUGAGCAGCUAGGUGCCCACCUUCAAUUCUACAGCUCACGAGGAAGCUAGAAUGGAUCUGGUGGACAACGAGCCAAGGCAGCUGCUGCCGCAGGGUCCUGUUCCCCAGGAGGCAGAUGGCUGGAGGCUGGCUGGUGGGUGACUCCAGGUCCCUCGGGCUUUCCUCACCCAGGAAGUAGAGCCGUGAGCUCUGCCUCUGCCCCCGGCUGCCAGGGAGAGGCUGUGGGGGUCCCCCGACCUCAGCCCGCUCCUUUCUCUGAACGAUGCUCUCGGUGGUCGGGCCUCUCCUCAGCCCGUCUCCUGUCUUUCAUUCCUGGCUGUGAUGACUCCGAGCCAGACCUGGUCCUCGGUCCUGCUGCUCAGUGGAAACCUCGGUCAGCAAGUGAGCAGCAGGCUCCAGGUCCCAAUGGCGCUGAGGGUCGAUGUGACUGGAGAAACUGCUCGAAGUGCUGGAGACACGGGAAUGAGUCAUUAAUUACAAAUCUCUAUUAUCUGCGGGUUAACAGAGGCCCCUGCUACGGGCUGAAUGUUCGUGUUCCCCAAAAUUCCUGUGUUGAAUCCUAACAGCGCUGUGACGGCGUGAGGAGGGGGCCCUUCAGGAGGAGGCAGGGCUCCUGUGAAUGGGAUUCGCGCCCAUCUAAAUAAGGCCCAAGAGAGCUCCCUGGGCCCCUCCCAACUUGUGGUUAAAGCUGGAAGCUUCGAUGCGAACCAGGAAGAGAGCCGCCCCAGACGCUGAACUCGCCAGCACCCCAGGCUCAGGCCUCCCAGCUUCUGGAGCCGUGAGACGUGAACUGCGGUCUGUAAGCCCCCAGUCUGCGCUGUUCUGUCACAGCAGCCGGGAGGCACUGACAGCCCCCACCGCCUCUUCCUGCCGAUACUGUCCUAGCCCAGCGGGGUUACUGUACGUACCUGGAAGAAUAAAACAGCAUUUCAG